AUAUUCUGAUCUCUUUCGGGGUAAAGUCGGCCUAUCCAUCCAUCAUGUGAUUCUCCGAUUAUUUGGUUACCGAUUCCAAGAGUCACAUUAUUCUAAGCAUAUCACAAUGUAGUCGUUUAUAUUUUCUCAUGAAUCAAUUAGUAUUGAUAAUAAUAAUAAUACUAUGUGUAUAUGUAACAAUUAGAAUGUGGUUUUAUAUUUAGCCCUGUGCCGGCUUCUGUUGUGGUGUUUUCACUAGGGAAUGAUUAUUGGAACAGUGAGAAGUCGUAACUUUCUGUAAAAAACAUUAUCUGCCGUCUGAACAGUCAAAUUUAAUAUGCAAAUGUUGUUCGAAUGUGGCUACAUUAUUAGACGAACAUCCUCAUUUAACAAAAAAAAAAUCGACUCCGAAGAAAAAUAUGUUUUUGAAAGAAAAUAAAUUUUUUAUCGUUUU